GACGAACGCUGGCGGCGUGCUUAACACAUGCAAGUCGAACGGAAAGGCCCCUUUGGGGGUACUCGAGUGGCGAACGGGUGAGUAACACGUGAGUAACCUGCCCUUGACUUCGGGAUAACUUCAGGAAACUGGGGCUAAUACCGGAUAGGAAUCCUUGCUGCAUGGUGGGGGUCGGAAAGCUUCGGCGGUUUUGGAUGGACUCGCGGCUUAUCAGCUUGUUGGUGGGGUAGUGGCUUACCAAGGCUUUGACGGGUAGCCGGCCUGAGAGGGCGACCGGCCACAUUGGGACUGAGAUACGGCCCAGACUCCUACGGGAGGCAGCAGUGGGGAAUAUUGCACAAUGGGCGGAAGCCUGAUGCAGCAACGCCGCGUGCGGGAUGACGGCCUUCGGGUUGUAAACCGCUUUCAGCAGGGGCGAAGCUUUUGUGACGGUACCUGCAGAAGAAGCACCGGCUAACUACGUG
rnacentral:rRNA from 1 species